UAGGUUAACGAGGCGAACCGGGGGAACUGAAACAUCUAAGUACCCCGAGGAAAAGAAAUCAACCGAGAUUCCCCCAGUAGCGGCGAGCGAACGGGGAGCAGCCCAGAGUCUGAAUCAGCUUGUGUGUUAGUGGAACGGUCUGGAAAGUCCGACGGUACAGGGUGAUAGUCCCGUACACCAAAAUGCACAGGCUGUGAACUCGAAGAGUAGGGCGGGACACGUGGUAUCCUGUCUGAAUAUGGGGGGACCAUCCUCCAAGGCUAAAUACUCCUGACUGACCGAUAGUGAACCAGUACCGUGAGGGAAAGGCGAAAAGAACCCCGGCGAGGGGAGUGAAAAAGAACCUGAAACCGUGUACGUACAAGCAGUGGGAGCACCUUCGGGUGUGACUGCGUACCUUUUGUAUAAUGGGUCAGCGACUUAUAUUCUGUAGCAAGGUUAACCGUAUAGGGGAGCCGCAGGGAAACCGAGUCUUAACUGGGCGUUAAGUUGCAGGGUAUAGACCCGAAACCCGGUGAUCUAGCCAUGGGCAGGUUGAAGGUUGGGUAACACUAACUGGAGGACCGAACCGACUAAUGUUGAAAAAUUAGCGGAUGACUUGUGGCUGGGGGUGAAAGGCCAAUCAAACCGGGAGAUAGCUGGUUCUCCCCGAAAGCUAUUUAGGUAGCGCCUCGUGAACUCAUCUUCGGGGGUAGAGCACUGUUUCGGCUAGGGGGUCAUCCCGACUUACCAACCCGAUGCAAACUACGAAUACCGAAGAAUGUUAUCACGGGAGACACACGGCGGGUGCUAACGUCCGUCGUGAAGAGGGAAACAACCCAGACCGCCAGCUAAGGUCCCAAAGUCAUGGUUAAGUGGGAAACGAUGUGGGAAGGCACAGACAGCCAGGAUGUUGGCUUAGAAGCAGCCAUCAUUUAAAGAAAGCGUAAUAGCUCACUGGUCGAGUCGGCCUGCGCGGAAGAUGUAACGGGGCUAAACCAUGCACCGAAGCUGCGGCAGCGACACUAUGUGUUGUUGGGUAGGGGAGCGUUCUGUAAGCCUGCGAAGGUGUGCUGUGAGGCAUGCUGGAGGUAUCAGAAGUGCGAAUGCUGACAUAAGUAACGAUAAAGCGGGUGAAAAGCCCGCUCGCCGGAAGACCAAGGGUUCCUGUCCAACGUUAAUCGGGGCAGGGUGAGUCGACCCCUAAGGCGAGGCCGAAAGGCGUAGUCGAUGGGAAACAGGUUAAUAUUCCUGUACUUGGUGUUACUGCGAAGGGGGGACGGAGAAGGCUAUGUUAGCCGGGCGACGGUUGUCCCG
rnacentral:rRNA from 1 species